GGCGCACCGAGCAGGGAGUCGAGGGUCUCCUAGGAACCGGGAGGGGAGUGGCUUGUCAGAGAUUUUUAGACAGGCAACGGAAGGAACCGAGGAUGUGAAGGCAGGUGUGAUGGAAGCAAAAAGAACACGGCUCCGACGAGCACAGGACCUGCUGAAUGAAGACUUCAGAGAAUCUAGAGGAAGUCGAAGCCUCAAAAUAGAAGAAGCUUGGGGUCCCUAAUGAAUCCUCGGAGGAACGCUGUCUAGAACUGCAGGACCAGCUGAAAAUAGAUUUUGAAGAACCAAGAUGCUUAAAGAAAGAAUGUAGAAGAAAAGGCCCAGUUCUCGAAGGCAGAAAACUGUACAACAAAAAGCAGUGUGAUUCUUCUAGGUAUUUGCUGACUUGAUCCCUCAUAUGCCUGAGAUUAGGGGCUAAACCUAUUGUUCCCUGAGAUCCUCCCAACUCUAACAGCUGUAAAUCUAAGAACCAGGAGCUGAAGGGGGAAAAAAAAAACCUUUACUCUUUAGUAUGUCUCUGUCUAAGAAACAUUUUCCAGCUAGAUUGUAAUAUUUCUUCAUGCUGUGUCACAGUCUAUCUACAUGCCAAGUGGAGAAUGUAGUUGGAAAUGUUUUUUGGCCAAAUAUAACUCUGUUCUGGGAAACGACUUUCCCUACCAACCACAGCUAUCCAGACACAUCUUGGAAUGUAGUAUAGGUGUGCAAGGAAUGCCCACCAUAGUCCCUUGAGUCUCUGAAUCAACGUUUAGGAAAAAUUGCAAAUUGGUUACAAAAGCACCUGGGAUUAGCAUGGGUGUCUGCCUCUUUUUCUUGCAGGUCCCUGUCCUUGCCAACCUGUUGGAUGUGCAGUGUGGGAGAGAAGAAUGGAAGAAUUUUGUAAUAACAAAAUGAGUUAACCUUUUAGACAUCUCCACAUGACUGUCUCAUAGGUCUAUCACACUUAAAAUACCCAAAUCGAAACCAAGUCCCCCACUUCUAGCUCAGUUGUCAUAACAUAGUUCAUAAAGAAAAUGUUCUAUAUCCAACUGUGGUGAGUAGCAUCUAGGGUCUUAAAAGCCUACGAGCAGCCAUCUAAGAUACAUCUACUGAUCCCCUUCU